rnacentral:snRNA from 1 species
AUUGCUUCUCAGCCUUUUGGCUAAGAUCAAGUGUAGUAUCUGUUCUUAUCAGGAACUUUAAAGCCCAGAAAGCUGUAGAAAUAAACCUUGAUACUUUCUUUACUAUCCUACUACCUCAGCACAAAUUCCAUUUAGAAUUCCUUACCAAUU